rnacentral:rRNA from 1 species
AUGGUUUCAUCCGUGGGGUUAGGAGUAAAGCAUCCCAAGGCUGGCGCAUCUCGUUGGGCGUGGAGAAGCAUUGGGAACCCCAAUAUCUUUCUUCGGAGUAGUUUCUUUUCCCGUCCCCUCGCCCCGGCAUAG